UUUAGCAAUUUCACGAAGGUGGCGAGGAGCCGAGGACUCCGUCCGCUCGCGCUUAACACCUCUCUUAGAAUCGGACCGACGAAACUAGAGGAAAUCUACCGGUAUCCCUCUAUUUCUUGUGUUCAAUUUUGUUGUUUCUAAUUCUCUGGAUGUUCCUGUCGGCGGGUUUGUGUUUUUGUUUUGUUGUAAUUUACAGGUUCAAUCUUUGUUCGAAAAUGUUUUGUUUUUGUUGUGUUGAUUUAAUCAUAUCUGGGUUUAUCUGUUAUUGAUUUUUCUUUCAUAUCUACAUUAACGCUAUCAUGCAUCCUUAAUUUGAUAUGAAAUAUGCGAAUACCCUGUGUUUACUUUGCUUUCUUCAGUGCCUGCUUAAUCUGUUCUUUACAUUUUCGACUAAACAAGGAUAACAUUCUCCAAAACAAUGGCAUGUUUUUGGUGCUUUGUUCAUUAAUUUUCAUUGCAUGCGCAAAAUUUCUUCAUCUAAGACUGAAGCUAAAGUAAUGCUAUUAGCAAUGUGUUUGAUAUUUUGCGCUUUCUUCAGUGGCUGCUGCUGAACUUGUGUAGUAGUAUUAUAAUUGAAUCUGUUAUUACAUUUUUGACUAAACAAGGGAAAACAUUCUCCAAAAAAGCAACAACAUGCGGCAACACGCAGGUUGCCUGCUAGUGAUCUAUUAAACUAUUGUCCACGAGCUAAAUAAGCUGGGUCAGCAUGAUUUUUAACAUGCUUGUAAACUGCUCAUUCGUAACCACAAAUGCUAACCUUAACUGCUUCAUUAGAGAAUUGUUUUGAUAACACCGUAUGAUACUUUUGCAGUAAUGAUGUUUGCAGCUUCAGUAGGAUGAAAUCCAUCCCAGAACAGGCUCACGUGCCUAAGAAAACAUGCAUCGCUGGAAGGCAGACAUUGAUCAACUUCAUUUACUCCACAGCACGUAGCUGUCAUUGUUUCGUCUCGAAUGCCAGCUGAACCGGAGGCAUAAUUCACGCCUUUGAGUACAGCAGAGCCGUUUGCCGUUGCCCAGGGAGCAUCCAGUACCAGCAACACCAUGGUCAGAGCAGUGCCAACCGGCGGAUAUCGAAGGGAUAAGCGUCGGACGCAGACUGAGCAGCGUAUGCUCUUCUGGCAAUAAUGCUGUUUGCAGCCUCAGUUGGGUGAAAUGCAU